rnacentral:rRNA from 1 species
GACGAACGCUGGCGGCGUGCCUAAUACAUGCAAGUAGAACGCUGAAGCGAGGAGCUUACUCUUCUUGGAUGAGUUGCGAACGGGUGAGUAACGCGUAGGUAACCUGCCUUGUAGCGGGGGAUAACUAUUGGAAACGAUAGCUAAUACCGCAUAACAAUGGAUGACACAUGUCAUUUAUUUGAAAGGGGCAAUUGCUCCACUACAAGAUGGACCUGCGUUGUAUUAGCUAGUAGGUGAGGUAAUGGCUCACCUAGGCGACGAUACAUAGCCGACCUGAGAGGGUGAUCGGCCACACUGGGACUGAGACACGGCCCAGACUCCUACGGGAGGCAGCAGUAGGGAAUCUUCGGCAAUGGGGGCAACCCUGACCGAGCAACGCCGCGUGAGUGAAGAAGGGUUUCGGAUCGUAAAGCUCUGUUGUAAGUCAAGAACGGGUGUGAGAGUGGAAAGUUCACACUGUGACGGUAGCUUACCAGAAAGGGACGGCUAACUACGUG